UGGGGAAUAUUGGACAAUGGGCGCAAGCCUGAUCCAGCAAUGCCGCGUGCAGGAUGAAGGCCUUCGGGUUGUAAACUGCUUUUGUACGGAGCGAAAAGGUCUGCCCUAAUACGGUGGGCUCAUGACGGUACCGUAAGAAUAAGCACCGGCUAACUACGUGCCAGCAGCCGCGGUAAUACGUAGGGUGCGAGCGUUAAUCGGAAUUACUGGGCGUAAAGCGUGCGCAGGAGGUUAUAUAAGACAGAUGUGAAAUCCCCGGGCUCAACCUGGGACCUGCAUUUGUGACUGUAUAGCUAGAGUACGGUAGAGGGGGAUGGAAUUCCGCGUGUAGCAGUGAAAUGCGUAGAUAUGCGGAGGAACGCCGAUGGCGAAGGCAAUCCCCUGGACCUGUACUGACGCUCAUGCACGAAAGCGUGGGGAGCAAACA
rnacentral:rRNA from 1 species